GUGAGUAACACGUGGGUGAUCUGCCCUGCACUCUGGGAUAAGCCUGGGAAACUGGGUCUAAUACCGGAUAGGACCAUGCUUUAGUGUGUGUGGUGGAAAGUUUUUCGGUGUAGGAUGAGCCCGCGGCCUAUCAGCUUGUUGGUGGGGUAAUGGCCUACCAAGGCGGCGACGGGUAGCCGGACUGAGAGGUUGGUCGGCCACAUUGGGACUGAGAUACGGCCCAG
rnacentral:rRNA from 1 species